GACAGAGGCCUCAAGCGUUAGGCGGAAUCACUGGGCUUAAAGCGUGUGUAGGCGGAUCGUUAAGUGUCUUGUGAAAUCCCACGGCUCACCCGUGGAACUGCUGGGCAUACUGGCGAUCUUGGGCCAACUAGGGGCAACUGGAACAAGCGGUGGAGCGGUGAAAUGCGUAGAUAUCGCUUGGAACGCCGAAGGUGAAAACAGGUUGCUGGGGUUGUGCCGACGCUGAGACACGAAAGCCAGGGGAG
rnacentral:rRNA from 1 species